AUUGCACAAUGGGCGCAAGCCUGAUGCAGCCAUGCCGCGUGUGUGAAGAAGGCCUUCGGGUUGUAAAGCACUUUCAGCGGGGAGGAAGGCGGUGAGGUUAAUAACCUCAUCGAUUGACGUUACCCGCAGAAGAAGCACCGGCUAACUCCGUGCCAGCAGCCGCGGUAAUACGGAGGGUGCAAGCGUUAAUCGGAAUUACU
rnacentral:rRNA from 1 species